rnacentral:lncRNA from 1 species
GGGAAAAUUAAUUAAGAGUUUUUUGUUUGUUUGAUCUUACUAGACAGUUAAGCUCAAUUUUUAUUGAAUCUUUAGGCAGAGAUUCUGGUUUAUUUAUUCUAUCUGUCUGAUUAUUAUUAUAUUUCUGGUAGGGUGAACACCAAAGAAUAAAUGAAAGAUAAUGAGAUAAACAGAGCCAAAUGUGGCUGUGCCCUAGAGCGGGCCUAUCUCAAUAUACAAGUGUGUGUUUCAUCUCUCCAAAGCAAAGAUUUCAAGACUCAGCUGGCAUCAGUAAAGAAGUAUCACGCUGGGAGAGAGAGCUGUCACCCUGAUGCACGGCAAUCUGCCCGCAGCUUCCUCUGGAUAGGGACGAGAAUUCCUGGGAAGCAGCAGAUAAAUGUGUUACAUCCAUUUUUACGCAGAGAAGCCCAACACUAGCUACUUCCAGACAGAGUUGGUCCAGUGCUGCGGUUAUCAUGUUAACUUUCCCAGCCUCCAUAU